UACAGAGGUCUCAAGCGUUGUUCGGAUUCAUUGGGCGUAAAGAGUGCGUAGGCGGCGCGGUAAGUCGGGUGUGAAAUCUCGGAGCUUAACUCCGAAACUGCAUUCGAUACUGCCGUGCUUGAGGACUGGAGAGGAGACUGGAAUUUACGGUGUAGCGGUGAAAUGCGUAGAUAUCGUAAGGAAGACCAGUGGCGAAGCGGGUCUCUGGACAGUUCCUGACGCUGAGGCACGAAGGUCAGGGGAGCAAACGGG
rnacentral:rRNA from 1 species